GUACUGGUUGUUUAAUAUGAAGCUUAGAAAGUUUCUUUCUAAGUAUUCUUUUAUUCAAAUAGACUUAGAUGUGAGAGGUCUAUAAUUUUUUGUAUUAACUAAAUUUUUUUUAACUUAUGUUUAAGUGGUUAGCUUUAUCGUAAUUAUAUUAGAAUCUUUAUUUCUUAUAUAGUUAUGGUUAAGUUAGGUUAAAAUAUAAAUAUUUAAGGAUCCCUAUAAAGGUUAGAUAAAUAUUUAUAAUUAAAAAGAUACCCCCUUUUAAAAUAAUCCUUUAAAUAGGGGCAACAGUAAUGUUAUUAGUCUAUAAAUUUAUUGCUCAAUAAAAUGGGUGAACAGUAUAGGGUUGAUUUUGUCGAUUAAAAUUCUAGAUAGUUAUAAUGAUAAUGACACAUAACUAUUUAUAUGUCUUGACCAAAAUACGUGCCAGCAGUCGCGGCAAGACGUAAAAGACUAGUGUUAUUCAUCUUUAAUAGGUUUAAAGGGUACCUAGACGGUUUAUUUAGUCUUUAACAGGAUACGAAUAAUCUAGAGUUAUAUAUGAGGAGGUGAGUAUUUAUGGAGUAGAGUUGAAAUUCGUUGAUACCAUAACGACUGGUAAAGGCGAAGGCAACCUUUUAUGUAAUAACUGACGUUGAGGGACGAAGGCUUGGGUAGCAAAAAGGAUUAGAUACCCUCGUAGUCCAGGCAGAAAAUGAUGAAUGUCAUAGAUUAGAUUUUUAUUUGGUCUAUAAAUUAAAAUGUAAGCAUUCCACCUCAAGAGUAAUGUGGCAACGCAGGAACUGAAAUCAUUAGACCGUGUCUGAAAUCAGUAGUGAAGUAUGUUGUUUAAUUCGUAGUCACGCGAAAACCUUACCACAACUUGCAUAUUAUCAACUAUGAUAUUACAAGUGUUGCAUGGCUGUCUGCAGUUGAUGUCGUGAGAUUAGGGUAGCCCCUAGAUUUAACGGAAGACCUAUGCUUUAGUUGAUUCACA
rnacentral:rRNA from 1 species